CACUAUUAUUCUACAAUGUAGAAAAUAGUUAAAAAUAAAGAAAAACCCUCGAAUGAGUAGGUGUGUCCAAACUAUAUUAUAUUUCACUAAAACUUUUCAAGGAUGGCCCUACCUCUUUCCCUAUUAGGUGCAUAGUGAAUAUUGGACCUGACCUCAACUUCCCCCAAAAUGCUGUGCUGCAGGAUGACACACAUACUAAUGUAAAGUCAUUCACAGCAAACAAUGUUGGUAGAGCCUUUUUAAAUCUUAUUUUUUGCCUACUUCAGUUUUCUUAUUUUUUUGUAUUACAUUUUCUUGGUUUUCUUUUUCCAGGUUUCAGAUUUCCCAAUUUUCUCUGUGUUCAUAACUAUGCUUAAACCACAUCAGGGGAUGACUUUUGAGGUCUUGGAAAAAUCUAAGAAACGGUGUAAUUGCCCUUUAAUUCAGUGAGCAUGCCCUGCACUGUUGUUUUGUUAGCAGGUUUUCUGUAGUGCAGUAAGGGCACAUGUGAUGUGAUUCGGCUGCCAAUAGAAUGGGGGAGUAAUCAAAAGCCCACUUGUGCUGCCACUGUACAGCGAAAAAUGAGUUGGAACCAACAUGGAGUACCUCCAGUAGGAAGAGAGGCAAGAACCAUUCGUCUGCCAGCUCAGGGACAAGCUACACUAUUCACAGCAAUUACAUUGUAAUGUUCAAUGUAAUUGCAUUGCUGGACUUUUUGAAAAUUCAUGUAUUUGUAUUGCUUAAAAAAUGUAUAAAUGAAAGGAAAUGUAUGAUUUAAACAGGUGUUUAAUGUUUAUUUGUUUUAGCUGUUAGUGAUAAUUCCCAGUGUUAAUACAUUUGCGUUUACAUCAUUAAGCCUUUAUGUAUCUGUUAUGAUCAAAGGGGUCUGACUUUAUAGUAAGCAGAGCCUCAUAGGAUACAUGGCAUUUAUGUAUGUGUUAUAAAUUACCAAAGGGGUCUGACUUUAAAUUAAGUACAGCGAUAUAGUCUUUGGAUGUGUUAUGAAUGUCCGAAUGGUGUCUCACUUCAAACUAAGUAUUACAGGACAACAGUGUCAAUAAAUAUGUUAACGUUC